GCAAGACGGUGGUCGGAUCCAUAGCUUGGCUGCAUCUGUGGAUUUAUGCCGUUUCAAGCUUUCAGGCUAAUGAAGACCUUCUGGUUUCUACAUCCAAGCAGACAUUUCACUGGCCUGAAUAACUCUCAUAUGGUGAGGAACUGAGUACUUUUUUCUUCUUUGGGUGGGAUUCUUGUAUAAAACAGGACAGAUUCUAUUUCUAUCCUAUCCUUGGUUUCCCUAGAAGAAAUGCUGUUUGCUCGUCACCUGAGAACAGUUCAACUACAUCCCACAAAGAAAGUCUACACUCCAAGUUGCUUUUAAAUUCAACACCAAAAACAUUCUUUGUUUCCAAGUAUAACGAACUGAUUUCCAUAAUCACAAUCUAGGAAAUUUGCUGAACUCCCUUUAAAGAUCAAUAAUCGUGAGCAAAUUUUCACUCUCCAUCCAAAGGACAAGAAGCUGAGGGAGGGUCUGCUUUACAGUGUGGUCCGCAAAGAACAUCUGCAGCUCCUCACUUUAUUGCUAACAUAAAACUGGAAUUAAAAUUAGAAUCCCAGAAGGGAAAGAAUCUGUAUAAAUCAUCCGCGCCAACUGGAGCAGAGAAAGGCUGAGAUUUCAGCCACAGUCACAGUUGCAGAGGCAGAAAGGGGGCCGGCUGUGGUCUGUCAGGAGCUGGCUUCCCAAGACCAGGCUAACUCUCGAAGCAGAACAGCACUUUGCCCGGCGUGUACAAGUAUGGAUGUCUGGUGAGAAAGGACAGAAUUGUCACUAAACCCAUACGGAAAAGUGAACCAGGACGACUGCUUCCAGCCUAGAAAGAUCUGUCACAAAAGACUUUUGACGGAGCAGAAACGGCCCAGUGAACACAACAGAGAUCCAGAGAGAAUGCUGAGUUGAUGUGAAAAUUCACAGUAGCUUUCAAACAGCAUUCAUUCCUGUUCAUUGUUCACAUUGCAUCGUUAUCUCUCUUAGGUUCCUGCGGUUAGAAAGCCUUCAGAAGCACAAGGCGAUUCUCAGAGAUUUCAACACGUAACCUAACACUUAAAGUAAAAGGCUGGUGAACAAAAACACACCUGAAAAUCCUUCAGGGAUGAAACGGAAGCUAACUGCUGACAGAUAAGCCAAACAGUGUGUGCUGAUGGCUAUCAAGCCCUUGCCACUUCCAACAGACAAGGGUUCAGAGUUGUCUCGGUCCAAUGUCAGGUUUCAGGAAAGUUCUGGCUCGAUGCCCUAGGAUUGUAUGUAAAUAUUUCCUAGGCACUAAACACACCCACAGAUGAGGGCUGUGGGGAGACCCAAACCCAGCUGUGUACAACAUAAAGGGAGAGGUGCCUAAGGCUCAACAGGAGGUGCUGAAAUAAAAGGGGACAGAUGACAAGAGUGUAUCAGUGGAGACACCGCGGAAGAGGACGCCGGACGAGGAGAAGGAUGCUGCUUUCGGCGAGUGGGUAAAGACUGGAGCAGAAAACAAGCACCGUGGCUGAGGGAAGGAGUCGGGAGAUGUCUCGGGGCAUGUAGGGAAGCAGACUUGAUUUGUACUAAAUGAAGAUACACGGAACUUCCAUGCCCCCAACAGGGGGGCAGGGAAGG